rnacentral:piRNA from 1 species
UGUCCUGACUCUAGCUUUUAACAGAAAGU